rfam:Alligator mississippiensis ScZkoYb_96, whole genome shotgun sequence.
GAUGAGGCUUUUUUUAAAGCCACCUAUAAACUUGGAAGAGAAAAG